rnacentral:rRNA from 1 species
GACGAACGCUGGCGGCGUGCUUAACACAUGCAAGUCGUACGGUAAGGCCCUUUCGGGGGUACACGAGUGGCGCACGGGUGAGUAACACGUGAGUAACCUGCCCACAACUUUGGGAUAACGCUAGGAAACUGGUGCUAAUACUGGAUAUGUGCUCCUGCUGCAUGGUGGGGGUUGGAAAGCUCCGGCGGUUGUGGAUGGACUCGCGGCCUAUCAGCUUGUUGGUGGGGUAGUGGCCUACCAAGGCGGCGACGGGUAGCCGGCCUGAGAGGGUGACCGGCCACAUUGGGACUGAGAUACGGCCCAGACUCCUACGGGAGGCAGCAGUGGGGAAUAUUGCACAAUGGGCGCAAGCCUGAUGCAGCAACGCCGCGUGCGGGAUGACGGCCUUCGGGUUGUAAACCGCUUUCAGCAGGGACGAAGCUUUUUGUGACGGUACCUGCAGAAGAAGCACCGGCUAACUACGUG